UCCUACGGGAGGCAGCAGUGGGGAAUAUUGCACAAUGGGCGCAAGCCUGAUGCAGCGACGCCGCGUGGGGGAUGAAGGCCUUCGGGUUGUAAACUCCUUUCGCUAGGGACGAAGCUUUUGUGACGGUACCUAGAUAAGAAGCACCGGCUAACUACGUGCCAGCAGCCGCGGUAAUACGUAGGGUGCGAGCGUUGUCCGGAAUUACUGGGCGUAAAGGGCUCGUAGGUGGUUUGUCGCGUCGUCUGUGAAAUUCUGGGGCUUAACUCUGGGCGUGCAGGCGAUACGGGCAUAACUUGAGUGCUGUAGGGGUAACUGGAAUUCCUGGUGUAGCGGUGAAAUGCGCAGAUAUCAGGAGGAACACCGAUGGCGAAGGCAGGUUACUGGGCAGUUACUGACGCUGAGGAGCGAAAGCAUGGGUAGCGAACAGGAUUAGAUACCCUGGUAGUCCAUGCUGUAAACGGUGGGCGCUAGGUGUGAGGGUUUUUCUACGAUUCUCGUGCCGUAGCUAACGCGUUAAGCGCCCCGCCUGGGGAGUACGGCCGCAAGGCUAAAACUCAAAGGAAUUGACGGGGGCCCGCACAAGCGGCGGAGCAUGUGGAUUAAUUCGAUGCAACGCGAAGAACCUUACCUGGGCUUGACAUACAUCAGAUCGCUGCAGAGAUGUAGUUUCCCUUUUGUGGUUGGUGUACAGGUGGUGCAUGGUUGUCGUCAGCUCGUGUCGUGAGAUGUUGGGUUAAGUCCCGCAACGAGCGCAACCCUUGUCUUAUGUUGCCAGCAUUUGGUUGGGGACUCAUGAGAGACUGCCGGGGUUAACUCGGAGGAAGGUGGGGAUGACGUCAAAUCAUCAUGCCCCUUAUGUCCAGGGCUUCACACAUGCUACAAUGGUCGGUACAACGCGUUGCGACACUGUGAGGUGGAGCGAAUCGCUGAAAGCCGGUCUUAGUUCGGAUUGGGGUCUGCAACUCGACCCCAUGAAGUCGGAGUCGCUAGUAAUCGCAGAUCAGCAAUGCUGCGGUGAAUACGUUCCCGGGCCUUGUACACACCGCC
rnacentral:rRNA from 1 species